rnacentral:rRNA from 1 species
CGGCAGGCUUGACACAUGCAAGUCGAGCGGUAGCAGAUCUAGCUUGCUAGAUGCUGACGAGCGGCGGACGGGUGAGUAACGCGUAGGAACCUGCCCAGUAGUGGGGGAUAGCCCGGGGAAACUCGGAUUAAUACCGCAUACGCUCUACGGAGGAAAAGAGGGGGCUUCGGCUCUCGCUAUUGGAUGGGCCUGCGUGAGAUUAGCUAGUUGGUGAGGUAAUGGCUCACCAAGGCGACGAUCUCUAGCUGGUCUGAGAGGAUGAUCAGCCACACUGGGACUGAGACACGGCCCAGACUCCUACGGGAGGCAGCAGUGGGGAAUAUUGCACAAUGGGCGCAAGCCUGAUGCAGCCAUGCCGCGUGUGUGAAGAAGGCUUUCGGGUUGUAAAGCACUUUCAGUGGGGAGGAAGGCCUCGUAGUUAAUAGCUGCGAGGAUUGACGUUACCCACAGAAGAAGCACCGGCUAACUCCGUG